UGUCAUCACACUUCCUGAUCUAGCUGGUACAAAUCAGAAGGGCUUCCUUAAUUUGGUCUAUAGCUCAAUGAACUCCUAACCAGCCACUAUGUCUUUUGUGGACACUCUGCGCCAGUGGGACAUGGCUGUAACUUGUGUGGAAAGACAGGAUUUGUCACAGGCACUUAAGAUUUUCCUGGCUAUCCAAGAACCAAAUUCCAAAAUUAGUUUUGACAUUGGCUGUCUCCAUCUUCUUAACCAAGACCUGGAUGCUGCUGAAAAGGCGUUUGAUUGCAGCAUACGCAAGGAUGAACAUUUGGCCGUUGCCUUCUUUCAAAGAGGAAUGACGUUUUACA